CACGGGGGGAGCAAGCGUUGUUCGGAAUCACUGGGCGUAAAGGGCGUGUAGGCGGUCAAGUAAGUGGAAUGUGAAAGCCCCCGGCUUACCCGGGGAUCUGCAUCCCAAACUGCUUGGCUUGAGUACGGGAGAGGAUAGGGGAAUUCCUGGUGUAGCGGUGAAAUGCGUAGAUAUCGGGAGGAACACCGGUGGCGAAGGCGCCUAUCUGGCCCGAUACUGACGCUGAGGCGCGAAAGCUAGGGGAGCAAACGGG
rnacentral:rRNA from 1 species